UACGAAGGGGGCGAGCGUUGUUCGGAAUUACUGGGCGUAAAGGGCGCGCAGGCGGCUCUGAAAGUCAGAUGUGAAAGCCCCGGGCUUAACCUGGGAAUUGCAUUUGAUACUGUUUGGCUUGAGACCGGUAGAGGUAAGUGGAACUGCGAGUGUAGAGGUGAAAUUCGUAGAUAUUCGCAAGAACACCAGUGGCGAAGGCGGCUUGCUGGACCGGUUCUGACGCUGAGGCGCGAAAGCGUGGGGAGCAAACAGG
rnacentral:rRNA from 1 species